GGGGAGCGGGAGCCGGCGGCGCGCGAAGUCCAGUCCGCGUUUUGCGAGUGCGCGGGAGCGCUCGGCGCGGAGGGGGCGAUGGUUGCUGGAGCUCGCUCGCUCAUGCCAUGCUGGGCCAGAUAGGCUCAGUCAGACGUGUAUUUACCCAUAUCCGGGUUAGAGAGGAAAAGAAAAAAAAAAAGUUUCAUUUAAACCUGAACAAAAAAACUUUCAACAUGAAAUCACACAGCAGGAACAGGCACAGACCCGAGCCGCUGAACAUGGCCAAUAAUGCAACUUCUGCCGCUGCCACCGGUAACAACAACAACAACAACGCCAGCGGCGGCGGCUCCUCCUCGGAGCCGGCUCUGAAGGAAGGUGGAAGCUCCUCGGCGUUAUCUUCGUCGUCUUCUUCUUCUUCCUCCUCCUCCUCCAACCCGGGCUCGGCCAUGGAGACGGGGCUGCUUCCCAACCACAAACUGAAAGGCGUCGGAGGCGAUCACCCCGCCGCGCCGCCCCACCACCACCAUGCCCACCACCCGCAUCACCAUGCCCACCACCACCAUGCCCACCACCCGCACCACCACCACCAUGCACUACAGCAGCAGCUAAAUCAAUUCCAGCCGCCGCCGCAGCAGCCGCCGCCUCAGCACCAUCCCAUGCAGAAUAACAACAGCAGCCUCGGCGGCGGCAGCGGCAGCAACAACAACGGCGGUGGCGGUGGCGGCGCUGCUCAGCCCAGUGCAGACAUGGAGCAGCAGCAACAUGGAGGAAAAGACAGUGUUUUGGGCACUCAGGCCGAGCCCCCGCAGCAGCCGCAGCAAAUGCUGAAUAAAGGCGCCGACGAGGAGGAGAUGCCCGGCAAAAUGGGCGAGCCCAUCAGCGGCCGCUACGACCACCCCGGUUUGGGACCCCUGGGCGGACAGCAGCAGCCCCAGCAGCCGCCCCAGAGCGCUGGGAGCGGCGGCGGCGGCCUCGGCGGCGGCGGGAGCGGGGGAGGCGGCGGCGGCCCCUCCGCGGUGGGUGUCUCGGAGUUCAAUAGCUAUUAUGGCAACGCUGCCCCCGCCGCUGCCGGCAGCGCUACGGCGAGCCGCGCCGGGCCUUGCUUUGAUCAACAUGGCGGACAACAAAGCCCCGGGAUGGGGAUAAUGCACCCCACGGCGGCCCCCAACAGCAUGGACCCCCUGCAAAACUCCCACGAAGGUUACCCCAACAGCCAGUACAACCACU
rnacentral:lncRNA from 1 species